rnacentral:rRNA from 1 species
CAGCAGCCACGGUAAUACGUGGGUGGCAAGCGUUGUCCGGAAUUAUUGGGCGUAAAGGGCUCGCAGGCGGUUUCUUAAGUCUGAUGUGAAAGCCCCCGGCUCAACUGGGGAGGGUCAUUGGAAACUGGGAAACUUGAGUGCAGAAGAGGAGAGUGGAAUUCCACGUGUAGCGGUGAAAUGCGUAGAGAUGUGGAGGAACACCAGUGGCGAAGGCGACUCUCUGGUCUGUAACUGACGCUGAGGAGCGAAAGCGUGGGGAGCGAACAGGAUUAGAUACCCGCGUAGUCCCUGUCUCUUAUAC